CUCAGAAACUUAAAGGAAGUUAGACGGGGCCCGCACAAGCGGUGGAGUAUGUGGUUUAAUUCGAUGCAACGCGAAGAACCUUACCUGGUCUUGACAUCCCGGAGACCCUUAGGAAACUAGGGGGUGCUUCCAUCUGGAAGAAUCUGGAGACAGGUGCUGCAUGGCUGUCGUCAGCUCGUGUCGUGAGAUGUUGGGGUUAAGUCCCGCAACGAGCGCAACCCUUGCCUUUAGUUGCCAGCAGUUCGGCUGGGCACUCUAAAGGGACUGCCGGUGUUAAACCGGAGGAAGGUGGGGAUGACGUCAAGUCCUCAUGGCCUUUAUGACCAGGGCUAUACACGUACUACAAUGGCCGAUACAAAGGGCAGCGACACUGCGAGGUGAAGCCAAUCCCGUAAAAUCGGUCUCAGUCCGGAUUGGAGUCUGCAACUCGACUCCAUGAAGUUGGAAUCGCUAGUAAUCGUGGAUCAGCAUGCCACGGUGAAUACGUUCCCGGGCCUU
rnacentral:rRNA from 1 species